AUCUAACAAUGGACUGAUCUACUUCAAGGAACAAUUCUGUUGUGACAAUUUUGAACGACAUGAAGAUGAAAAAUGCCAUGCUUGUCGUGUUGGAUUUACUUCAAAAGCAGGACUUGACUGUACUCCAUGUCCCCAAGACCAUUUUGGAUUCAGAUGCGCUGAAAUUUGCGAAUGUGACCACAAUAAAAGGUGUGACAACGUGCAUGGAUGUGUCCCUAAACAUUAUUUAGACAAUCUUUCGACUCAGAAUAGUUUCUACAGGAAGAAGCGAACACAGAGUGAUUCGAUUACCGCUGAAACAACAAAAUCCCAUUUGACUACUGAUGUUACACACACAAGAACAAGUAAUAAACUACAUAGAAGUGUAUCAACAUCACCUAAAUCCAUAGAAGACAGGGACAAUGGCUUCAUUGACCAGAAAAUACUAACUUACAUGUUCAUGGCUGUAGCUGGGGCUCUUCUGGUGAUUAUAGGACUGUGUCUGUGUCUUGUUUGCGUUUGUUGGAAGCGUCAUGUGUCAUCAAAAAAGAAGAACAUUGCUGCUGUAAGUUCUGCUGUUCCGCUUACUCAAUUUCCUAUCAUUCAGGAAAAUGUUUCAGUUUCUGAAAUUACCAAUGGAUACGAAUAUGAGGUAAUUGAUGACUCAAAACUAGAACGAGAAAUACCAGUUAUUCAGGUAAUUGAUGACACAAAACUAGAACGAGAAAUACCAGUUAUUCAACACGAUUAUAUUAGCGUUGAAAGUUCAAAUAAUAAUUCAGAGGUUUGUGGAACAGACAGUGAUGGGUAUUUACACCCAUAUCAUUCUUUAGUUUCUGAAAACAGUAUUUCAUCCAAUGGUGUUGAUGAUAAAAAUAAUGAAAACAUAUAUGAAGAAAAGCCUUACUUAUCUGUAGAAAAGGAAUGCAAAAAUGAAGUGCAGCAGAAUGAAAAUUGUGAAUUGGUAAACAAUGAAACAGUCGAUAAAAAGGAAGAUGAGAUCAUGUAUGACGUACCCAAAAAAUACCAAAUCUAGUGGUGACAAAGUCAUUUUCAUGUAAAACAAUGUUACUACUUAAUCAUAAUUUACUUGACUUUUGCUUGAAUUCUAUAAAAAAAAUAUAUACCAACUAAAUUGUAUGAUUGACUCUUAAAUGAAUGAUGGA